rnacentral:rRNA from 1 species
UACGUAGGGAGCAAGCGUUGUCCGGAAUCAUUGGGCGUAAAGCGCGCGUAGGCGGCCUCAUAAGUCCGCUGUGAAAGUCAAAGGCUCAACCUUUGAAAGCCGGUGGAUACUGGGAGGCUAGAGUACGGAAGAGGCGAGUGGAAUUCCUGGUGUAGCGGUGGAAUGCGCAGAUAUCAGGAGGAACACCGGUGGCGAAGGCGGGUCUCUGGGCAGUAACUGACGCUGAGGAGCGAAAGCGUGGGGAGCGAACAGG